GAUGAACGCUAGCGGGAGGCCUAACACAUGCAAGCCGAGCGGUAUUGUUUCUUCGGAAAUGAGAGAGCGGCGUACGGGUGCGGAACACGUGUGCAACCUGCCUUUAUCUGGAGGAUAGCCUUUCGAAAGGAAGAUUAAUACUCCAUAAUAUAUUAAUUGGCAUCAAUUGAUAUUGAAAACUCCGGUGGAUAGAGAUGGGCACGCGCAAGAUUAGCUAGUUGGUGAGGUAACGGCUCACCAAGGCAAUGAUCUUUAGGGGGCCUGAGAGGGUGAUCCCCCACACUGGUACUGAGACACGGACCAGACUCCUACGGGAGGCAGCAGUGAGGAAUAUUGGUCAAUGGGUGCAAGCCUGAACCAGCCAUCCCGCGUGAAGGAUUAAGGUCCUAUGGAUUGUAAACUUCUUUUGUAUAGGGAUAAACCUACCCUCGUGAGGGUAGCUGAAGGUACUAUACGAAUAAGCACCGGCUAACUCUGUGCCAGCAGCCGCCGUAACAC
rnacentral:rRNA from 1 species